GAAUUGUAGCCUAUAAUCAAUUUAUUAUCUAAACUCAUUGGUCUCCUUUACUUUCCUGUGUCUUGGAGAAAACUUUAAUGGUAGAUUGAGCUGCUUUUUGGGUUUUCGUGAUGUCUGAGUCUACUAAUAUAUUACACGUUUGUAAAUUCCUAGAAAUGAAGUGACCCGUCAAAUAAAGCAAAGGAAUAGGUUUUUUCAAGUCCUCUCUGCUCUGCUCUGCUCUGCCCUUUCUGUAAGUCAGAAUUGGAGUUGGAAUCAACUAUUGGAAUUUCUUUCCUUCUCUACCCUAUAUAAAUAUGUAAACAAACUUUGUGUUUCCAUGGCUUAUCACCUCCCAACAAAGACAAAGCCCACCACAAGUCUUCUCUUUGCCUUUGCUUUCUUUCUGGGUUCUCUUCAUUUUCUUUCUUUCUUUCCAACAUGGGUUGUUAGUUUUCUUCUCAUUUUAGCUCAACCUUGUUGAGUUCAUUAAUAAAGAUCCCGUGUUCCUCUCUGUAUCUCAACUGGCUUGAAUAAUUCAUAGCUACCUGAUUAUUAUUAUUCUUAGAAAAGGUACAAGUUUUGGUUGAAAUAUGGAGAAAUCAAAUCUUCUUGUGAAUGGUGGGAUGAAAUUGCCUAUUGGGUAUAGAUUUCAUCCUACAGAUGAAGAACUUCUUCUUCAUUACUUGAGACGUAAGGUCUUUGGUGUUCCAUUGCCUGCUUCUGUUAUUCCUGAGCUUGAUGUAUUCCAAGCUGAUCCCUGGAGCUUGCCAGGUAAUUUGAAGGAAAAGAGGUAUUUCUUUGGCAGAAAUUGGGGAAAUGACAGUGAAAACGGAUGCAAGAAAGCUGCUGGUUCUGGCUACUGGAAGCCUAUUGGCAAAGGCAGGCAAAUUGUAGCUUCUUUUAGCAACCAUGUAAUUGGAAUGAAGAAAACUCUAAUUUUCCGUGAAGGGAAGCAUUCUAAUGACUCUACAACUCAGUGGAUCAUGCAUGAAUAUCGCCUU
rnacentral:misc_RNA from 1 species